AAAUUCCUGAAGGCCAGCAUUGAUCUUGAAAAUCAAUAAUAAACGUUAAACUCGUUUAGGAGUUA
rnacentral:tRNA from 1 species